GCCUGGUGACCCUGGGACGCGGCCACACUCCUGAGGGAGUACCUGUCGAAGCCCUGCGUCCCCCACGACGACCACCACCUUGGCCCCAAAUUCACUUUCAGCAUUUGGAGCCUCCUCUCCGCGCUACCGCGGGUCACAAUGAAGCUCUUUGAGAUCAAGGAUUCCACCAGAGUUAUACACUGUGCUUUACUGAGAUGAGCACCAGGUUUUCUGUGAAACUGGAUUGGGUUCAAGCCCAUAUCUGUCUUCUAUGAAUCUGUGACCUGAGGAUCUACCUGCCUCACACAGUGAUAGACCCUGCAACCAGUACAGUGCCUGGAAGACAGGAGGUACUCAACCAAUCCUGGCUAGAUGGAUAACAAAAUGAAGAUGAAACCAGUGCAAAAAUCACCCUAAAAGGAAAAUUCAAAGAUUCAAAAAUAUCUAGAAAUCUGCCAGUACCUUCUAACAAGAAUGGAAGUUGAGGCCCAUGAAAGGCAAGAACCUGCCCAGUGUCACACGAAACACUAGUGGUUUUCUUCACUGUUCUUCAGAGUUCUUAGAUGCCUUCAAGAUCCACCUCUCCCCAACCUCUCUCUCUUGUUCCCAACUUUUAUUGAAUAGGUGUGUGCUUUCUCCAAGCUUUACAGAACUUAGUCCCCACCACAGCCUUAUUUUACAGAUUUGCAAACUGAGUCUCAUGGAAGAGAGUAAGUUGCCUUAGGUAAUGAUUAGGAGGAGGCCAAUCUCAAUCAAUCUGGGACUGAAUCUAUGCCAGCACUAUCCAAUAGAUCUUUUUGCAGUGAGGGAAAAGUUCUUUAUCUGGGCUGUCUGGUAUUAUAGCCAUCAGUUAUGUAUGGCUUUUGAGCACUUAAAAUGUUACUAGUGGAACUAAGAAAAUAAAUUUUUUAUUUAAAUGUAUUUUAAUUAAUUUAUAUUUAAUUUUAUAGCUAAUGGCUGCCCUACUGACUACUCCAGAUCUAUACUAUCUAACUGGGAUUUUCCCGGCAAGAAUAUUGGAGUGCGUUGCUGUGCCCUCCUCCAGGGUAUCUUUCUGACCCAGGGAUCAAACCGGAAUCUCUUAUGUCUCCUGCAUUGCAAGUGGAUUUUUUACAGCUUAGCCACUCGGGAAGCCCGUAUAUAACCAUAAAUAAUUUGAAAUCUAGAAAGUAGCAUUGGGGUGGUUUUUCUUUAUUGUUAUCUAAAUUUAUCAUAAUUAAUGCAUAUUAUAGUAAAAAGAAAACUAAAUAUAUUUUUAAAGGACCCAA